rnacentral:rRNA from 1 species
CUAAGAAUCUUGCGCAAUGGGCGAAAGCCUGACGCAGCAACGCCGCGUGGAGGACGAAGGCCUUCGGGUCGUAAACUCCUUUUGCGAGGGAAGAAGAUCUGACGGUACCUCGCGAAUAAGCCACGGCUAACUACGUGCCAGCAGCCGCGGUAAUACGUAGGUGGCAAGCGUUGUCCGGAUUUACUGGGCGUAAAGAGCCCGCAGGCGGUCCAAUAAGUUCUUGGUGAAAUCUCCUGGCUCAACUGGGAGGGUGCCUGGAAAACUGUUGGACUUGAGGCAGGGAGAGGGAUGUGGAAUUCCCGGUGUAGUGGUGAAAUGCGUAGAUAUCGGGAGGAACACCAGUGGCGAAGGCGGCAUCCUGGCCCUGUCCUGACGCUCAGGGGCGAAAGCCAGGGGAGCAAACGGGAUUAGAUACCCCUGUAGUCCCUGAGCGGGCUGGCAAGGCGCAU